GACAAACAUGGGUAUGAGCUGGGGUUCAUAAAAGAGGAAAUGCAAUGGCCCAAAAAAUUUAUAAAAAGCUUUUUGUAAAAGAAUGUCAAAUCUCACUAAUAGCUAAGGAAAUGCAACUUAGCACAACACAAUAUUCUCAUUUAUUAAUAUAAUAAAUUAAAAAAUUUAUGGAAAUUUAUAAUAUUUAAUCAAAUUAGGUAUAAAAAUGGUAAGUUGUGAAUUGCAGGGUGCAAUGGUUCUGUAAUUUCCCUUUUGGAAAUCUGUUCUCUAGAAAUGGACAUGUUUCUUUCUAAGGAGAUACAGGCCAAGAAUGAUUUAGAUAUAUGUGUGGACCUAAAGGAAUGUUCAUGGUACACAGUUGAAUGAAUACAGCAACAAGAUAUGUCUCCUGAGGCAAGGGAAACAAAGGUGAAAAAUAAACUACUGGGAUUUCAUCAAAAUAAAGGCUUCUGCACAGCAAAGGAAACAGUCAACAAAACUAAAAGGCAACCUGCAGAAUGAGAGAAGAUAUUUGAGAAUGACAUAUCUGAUAAAGGGUUAGUAUCCAAAAUAUAGAAAUAACUUAUAAAACUCAACCCUCCAAAUAAUCUGAUUUUAAAAA